rnacentral:rRNA from 1 species
ACUGGGGGACUGUCUCGGGGAUUUACUCGGUGAAAAUGCGAUACCGGUGAAGAUGCCGGUUAAGUGCAGUUAGACGAAAAGACCCCGGAAGCUUUACUGCAAGUUGUUAUUGGCUUUACGUUUUUACUACGUAGCGUAGUGGGGAGGCUUUGAAGUGCCGCUCUCGGGUGGCAUGGAGCCGCCGAUGAAACACCCAUUUUUAAAAAUGUAAAAUCUAACCUGUCCGGCAAAACCGAAUGGGGACAGUAGCUGCUGUGGGGCGCAAGCCUCCUAAAAAGUAACGGAGGCGUUUAUUAAGGUCGGCUAGCUCCGGAUGGACAUCGGAGCGAUAGUGCAAUGGCACAAGCCGGCUUAACUGGAAGUCGGACAUGACGACCAGAUACGAAAGUAGAACAUAGUGAACCGACCGUGGGCACUCGAUGCCGCGGAAGAUUAACGGAUAAAAGCUACUCCGGGGAUAACAGGCUAGUUCCGCCCUGCACUCGUUGAUUCUUGAGGGGGGUUCUUCCUAGUACGAGAGGACCGGAAGGAGGCGACCUCUGGUCUACCUGCUGUUCCGCCAGGAGCACCGCAGGGUAGCUAUGUCGUUGAGUGAUAAGCGCUGAAAGCAUCUAAGCGCGAAGCACGCCCCAAGAUUAGGAAUCGUUAUCAGAUCCGUGGAAGACUACCACGUUGAUAGGCUCCAGGUGUAAGAUCCGCAAGGAUUUCAGCCGAGGAGUACUAAUAGAUCGAGCCG